AUACGUAGGGUGCGAGCGUUGUCCGGAAUUACUGGGCGUAAAGAGCUCGUAGGUGGUUUGUCGCGUCGUCUGUGAAAUUCCGGGGCUUAACUCCGGGCGUGCAGGCGAUACGGGCAUAACUUGAGUACUGUAGGGGAGACUGGAAUUCCUGGUGUAGCGGUGAAAUGCGCAGAUAUCAGGAGGAACACCGGUGGCGAAGGCGGGUCUCUGGGCAGUAACUGACGCUGAGGAGCGAAAGCAUGGGUAGCGAACAGGAUUAGAUACCCUGGUAGUCCAUGCCGUAAACGGUGGGCGCUAGGUGUAGGGGUCUUCCACGACUUCUGUGC
rnacentral:rRNA from 1 species